rnacentral:rRNA from 1 species
UCCCUAGUACCUGCGAGUGAAGAGGGAAAAGCUCAAAUUUAAAAUCUGGCCGCCUCGCUGUCCGAGUUGUAAUUUAGAGAAGUGCUACCCGCGCUGGACCGUGUAUAAGUCUCCUGGAAUGGAGCGUCAUAGAGGGUGAGAAUCCCGUCUUUGACACGGACURCCAGGGCAUUGUGGUGUGCUCUCGAAGAGUCGAGUUGUUUGGGAAUGCAGCUCUAAAUGGGUGGUAAAUUCCAUCUAAAGCUAAAUAUUGGCGAGAGACCGAUAGCGAACAAGUACCGUGAGGGAAAGAUGAAAAGAACUUUGGAAAGAGAGUUAAACAGUACGUGAAAUUGCUGAAAGGGAAACGCUUGAAGUCAGUCGCGUUGGCCGGGGAUCAGCCUUGCUUUUUCUGUGAGGUGUACUUCCUGGUUUGACGGGUCAGCAUCAGUUUUGACCAUUGGAGAAAGGCUUGGGGAAUGUGGCACCUCCGGGUGUGUUAUAGCCCCUUGUCGUAUGCAGUGGUUGGGACUGAGGAACACAGCACGCCGAAAGGCCGGGUUUUUUGACCACGUUCGUGCUUAGGAUGCUGGCAAAAUGGCUUUAAGCGACCCGUCUUGAAACACGGACCAAGGAGUCUAACAUGCUUGCGAGUGUUUGGGUGGAAAACCCGAGCGCGUAAUGAAAGUGAAAGUUGGGAUCUCUGUCGUGGAGAGCACCGACGCCCGGACCUGAUGUUUACUGACGGAUCUGCGGUAGAGCACGUAUGUUGGGACCCGAAAGAUGGUGAACUAUGCCUGAAUAGGGCGAAGCCAGAGGAAACUCUGGUGGAGGCUCGUAGCGAUUCUGACGUGCAA